UACGUAGGGUGCAAGCGUUACUCGGAAUUACUGGGCGUAAAGCGUGCGCAGGCGGUUAUGCAAGACAGAUGUGAAAUCCCCGGGCUUAACCUGGGAACUGCAUUUGUGACUGCAUAGCUGGAGUGCGGCAGAGGGGGAUGGAAUUCCGCGUGUAGCAGUGAAAUGCGUAGAUAUGCGGAGGAACACCGAUGGCGAAGGCAAUCCCCUGGGCCUGCACUGACGCUCAUGCACGAAAGCGUGGGGAGCAAACAGG
rnacentral:rRNA from 1 species